AUGAACUCAUAUUGCAUAGGAGUGGUGUGAGAGUCAUGGGAGAAUCAUGAGCAGAACUAAGAAAGUAAUGAAAGAGUAAGCAUAACUGGUUGGUUACUUCCUUAAUAUCACAGUUCUAGGAGGAACUCUCCACUUGGAGGAGAACUUUCCAGGAUGAGAAGACUAUAUGGAAUAGAGAAGUGAAAAGGGGAGUUGAAAAAAAUGAAUGAAGAUUUUAGUCAGAGCUCUGACCACAACUCCAGUCCAAACAAGAAAACCAUCCAGAGUCUGAAAAAUUCGGGAAAGGAGCAAACCUUCAGGGACCGGAGGCAGAAGGAAAAAUUGAGAGAUAACUUCCUGUGGCAGAACGAAUGGUGGGGGGAAAACAGGCUCUGCACAUUUCUCCCCCCUGUGCUUGGGCCCUGUCUCUGUGGAUGCAGCUUAAGAACGAAAUUAGUGCUUCACCCUCGGCCCCCAACACUUCCCAGGCAGACUGCCCCAAAGCUUCCAUAUUUACUAUCCAAGAGAGAGUCAACACCAUCAAUGGCCUGGUCUCAAACACGUCCUACUUCUCCUUCAUCUUUACACCCAACCUCCCCGACUGGUCUCCAGCCUACCAGUCACCCUCUGCAACCCCGGCAACUGGUCCCUUUAGGUAUUUGGCCCCAAGGUUUUAUCAUGGCUCCUCCCAAGAACAGGCCUCCCAGAAGCCAUUCCCACUUUCCUUAGGGAGGUACCCCAUUCCCUCAAGGAGAAUGAUAACUCCCUAAUCCAUUUAUAUUAAUAAUAAAAUGUAUAUUAAAAAUAAAUAUAUAUUUA
rnacentral:lncRNA from 1 species